rnacentral:miRNA from 11 species
AAUAUGUGUGUGUGUGUGUGUGUAUAGGUAUAUGUAUAUAUGCAUAUGUAUAUAUAUACACACACACACACACACUAUGUA